GUGCCAGCAGCCGCGGUAAUACGUAGGGCGCAAGCGUUGUCCGGAAUUAUUGGGCGUAAAGAGCUCGUAGGCGGCUUGUCACGUCGAUUGUGAAAGCCCGAGGCUUAACCUCGGGUCUGCAGUCGAUACGGGCUAGCUAGAGUGUGGUAGGGGAGAUCGGAAUUCCUGGUGUAGCGGUGAAAUGCGCAGAUAUCAGGAGGAACACCGGUGGCGAAGGCGGAUCUCUGGGCCAUUACUGACGCUGAGGAGCGAAAGCGUGGGGAGCGAACAGGAUUAGAUACCCCGGUAGUCC
rnacentral:rRNA from 1 species